rnacentral:rRNA from 1 species
AGUGAACGCUGGCGGCAGGCCUAAUACAUGCAAGUCGAACGGCAGCACAGCAGAGCUUGCUCUGUGGGUGGCGAGUGGCGGACGGGUGAGGAAUACGUGGGAAUCUGCCCAGUCGUGGGGGAUAACGUAGGGAAACUUACGCUAAUACCGCAUGCGCCCUUCGGGGGAAAGCCGGGGACCUUCGGGCCUGGCGCGAUUGGAUGAGCCCACGUCGGAUUAGCUAGUUGGCGGGGUAAAGGCCCACCAAGGCGACGAUCCGUAGCUGGUCUGAGAGGAUGAUCAGCCACACUGGAACUGAGACACGGUCCAGACGCCUACGGGAGGCAGCAGUAGGGAAUAGUGGACAAUGGGCGCAAGCCUGAUCCAGCCAUGCCGCGUGAGUGAAGAAGGCCCUCGGGUUGUAAAGCUCUUUUGUCCGGAAAGAAAAGCGCCGGGUUAAUACCCUGGUGUCCUGACGGUACCGGAAGAAUAAGCACCGGCUAACUUCGUGCCAGCCGCCGCCGUAAGAC